GCGGAAAUGGCGGAAUUGGUAGACGCACCAGAUUUAGGUUCUGGCGCCGCAAGGUGUGAGAGUUCAAGUCUCUC
rnacentral:tRNA from 1 species